CUACGGGAUGCUCCAGUGGGGAAUAUUGCACAAUGGAGGGAACUCUGAUGCAGCAACGCCGCGUGGAGGAUGACACUUUUCGGAGCGUAAACUCCUUUUAUAUAGGAAGAAGAUGACGGUACUAUAUGAAUAAGCGCCGGCUAACUCCGCGCCAGCAGCCGCGGUAAUACGAAGGGCGCAAGCGUUACUCGGAAUCACUGGGCGUAAAGAGCGUGUAGGCGGAUUAAAAAGUCAGAAGUGAAAUCCUAUAGCUUAACUAUAGAACUGCUUCUGAAACUCUUAAUCUAGAAUAUGGGAGAGGUAGAUGGAAUUUCUGGUGUAGGGGUAAAAUCCGUAGAGAUCAGAAGGAAUACCGAUUGCGAAGGCGAUCUACUAGAACAUUAUUGACGCUGAGACGCGAAAGCGUGGGGAGCAAACAGGAUUAGAUACCCGAGUAGUU
rnacentral:rRNA from 1 species